CUCAAGGUUGGCAAGUAUGACUGCAACUGCUCUUCUUAACAAGGAGCGAGAGAACUGACUUUUCUUAAGAAGAAACUGGAGUGGCAAAAGAUAAGAACUGAAGAACUGGAAGGAGAGAAAGAUUUCCUCUGAAGUCAGCUAUCAUCCCUUACAAAAGGCUUCUGGAAACUCAGAUUCAUCUUCCGCAUCUUCAUCUGUAUCGUCUGUGAAGAGUGAAGAAAUACAAGAAGGAGCAGAAGAAGCUCCGGCAGCGUGUUCAAACACCAAAUGAGAUUGUGCAGCAAUACAAAUCCCUCCUCAAGACAUUUCCAAAGACAAAGACCAUGAUGAAAGCUUUUCAGAAGCAUGGGCACGACAGAAACACCGUUGUGUCCACUUCAUUAAUAUGGGAACUUGCUAUUGCGGUCCCCAAUGUUUACCAGGAGGUACUAUCCAACAGGCCUAGUGGAGAGACAGUACUAACUUUUGCUAAGCGAUGUGAGGCUGCAAUUCAAGGCACUGAUGCAGCGAAAAACAAAAUAGAAAGUAUGAAGGCCACUGGUACUUUGCUUCCAAUUCGAAGAGGGAAAUCUGUCUCAAAGCCUAAUUUGUUCUAAGUAGUUUGUUUGUUUUGAGCAUAUUCAACAGAAGAAAAGAUCUGCAAA